rnacentral:rRNA from 1 species
UACUACUCGCUUAUAAAAUUUCCCAGAACAUUAAUCUUUAUGAAAUUUAACGGAUUUGGCGGCGAGAUAGCCCAUUAGAGGAACCUGCCCUGUUAACGAUGGUCCGCGAUAAAACUUACUAUAUUUUGAAACCAGUUUGUAUACCGCUGUUGCCAGUUAGUUCUAGUAGGAAACUUUCGGGAGAUGGUAAGACCAUAAACUUCAAGUAAAGGUGCAGCUUAUAAUAUAGAAAGAGGUGGGUUACAUUUAUUGGAUUAAAAACGGAAAGUCUUCUGAAAAACGACUGGAAGGUGGAUUUAAUAGUAAAUUCUUGAGGAAUUGAUUAGAGCUCUAUCUUGUG